UUUCAUCUUGUAUUUAUGACGUUAUGACAAUACAAAAAUAGGGAGAUGAGUAUUGAUUGCAAAUGAGACAAAUAUCCACAAAAGUUCAAAUGAAAUGAAUGCCUCUGUACAACCUUCAACAAUGAGAAUAAAACAGCUCAAGGGUACAUUCUAUUACAAAUGCAGAGAUUGCACCUUCAUCAGGUGGGGGGGGGGACACUAUAUAGACACUACAUUCGAACUUGAUUCACAUGAUACAGUUCAGAAUUUGGAUUGUGAUGAAUUAUUAGACACAUCAUACAUGUAGGUUUCUGGUAAAAGAACUGAUGAUUUUGAAAUUGGACUUGUGUCAAUAUCCAAAAUCUAAAGUCUAAAAGACAUGAUUAGAUUUAUCAUAUCAAAGAACCCCAUAUAUGCAAUUUUUAAAGAAUUUAAACAAAGUUUAAGUUUGGACCCCAAUUUGAAUCAACUUGAAAACUGAGCCCAAAUCAUAAAUCUAAACAUGCUUAAUGCAUGAUAACAAAAAAAACUUCAAUAAUAUUUUAAUAAACUAACAAAGGUUUUUUUUUUUUUUUAUCUUUUUUGCAAUUUGAAAACGAAUAUUAAAAAUCUAAACAUAUAAGAAGUAUUUAACCCAAAAAAGUACAAUACACCAUUUAAUUUUGCAUAAUAUCAAAGAACACCAAUUAUUCAAUUGUUUUAUGAAAUCAAGUUUAAAUUUGGACCCUUUUGACCCUAUAGCUGAUAUAGACCAAUUUAAAAACAAGCCAAAACAUUUGAAGUUGGUAAAACAAUAAGCAUUGGAAACAAAUAUAUAAUUAAUUUUACAGCUAAUUUCCUACGGCAUGUAAAUCUAAGACUUCAGUUAGCUUGCAUGGUUUGUUUGUAUAUUGUACAAUUGCAAUUGACAAUAACGUCUAAUCAAACUUAAAAGUACUCCAUAAAGGUUCAAAUAUGCCUAUAUUUAUUGUUUGAAGAUAUCAACCUUAAUUACAAAGCUUGAAUCAAUAUUUAUACAAACAGAGCAAGCAAACCUACCAAAGUGUUACUCUACACGCAUUAGGAAAAUAGCUGUAAUAAUGGUAAAAGUGUUUUUUUCAAAAAUGAAAAAUACAAAUGUAGUCUUCAGGUUUACCAUAAAUGCAUGUAUACUAUAAAUGAGGAUCUCAGUGUCAAGCUGACAAGAACACAUAUUUUUUUCUAGGUUUAAUUCUCAUAAAGAGAACAAUUCCAAUGUUGAGUAAUGAAAAUAUUGUUGUGUAAAUUGUACUGAUAUGACCC
rnacentral:lncRNA from 1 species